GACGAACGCUGGCGGCGUGCCUAACACAUGCAAGUCGAGCGAAAGGACGAGGAGUUUGCUUCUCUGAUGUUAGCGGAGGACGGGAGAGUAACAUGUGGAUAACAUACCUAUAAGAAUGGGAUAAUUAUGGGAAAUCGGAGCUUAUACCGGAUAAUAUUUUGCAUCGUAUGGUGCAAAAGUGAGAGUCGGUGUUGGUGUGUGUUAUAGCUGGAUCCGCGCUGGAUUAGCUAGUUGGUAAGGUAAAGGCUUACCAAGGCAAGGAUGCAUAGACGACCGCAGAGAGUGGUCGGCCACACUGGAGCUGAGACACAGUCCAGACUCCUGCGAUAAGCAACAGUAGGGAAUCUUCCGCAAUGGUCGAGAGCCUGACAGAGCAACGCGGCGUAAGUGAUGAAGGUCUUCGGAUCGUAAAACUCUGUUAUUAGGGGAGAACAUAUGUGUAAGUAACUGUGCACAUCUUGACGGUACCUGGUCAAAAAGCCACGGCUAACUACGUG
rnacentral:rRNA from 1 species